GUGUCAGCAGCCGCGGUAAUACGUAGGACGCAAGCGUUAUCCGGAUUUAUUGGGUUUAAAGGGUGCGUAGGCGGACUUAUAAGUCAGUGGUGAAAGACUGUCGCUCAACGAUAGCAUUGCCAUUGAUACUGUAUGUCUUGAGUACAAUUGAGGUAGGCGGAAUGUGUAGUGUAGCGGUGAAAUGCUUAGAUAUUACACAGAACACCGAUUGCGAAGGCAGCUUACUAAAUUGUUACUGACGCUGAGGCACGAAAGCGUGGGGAUCAAACAGGAUUAGAAACCCUCGUAGUCC
rnacentral:rRNA from 1 species